rnacentral:lncRNA from 1 species
CGUGGAAAAAACAUAAUUGUUUAAUUAAAAAAAGGCGCGUCUAAAUUAAAAAAUAACACACAAAAAAGAAGUUACAAUAUUUCCCACCCAGCUCUAGCAUCCAUCUCCACGCCCCAGCCCGAGCAUCCAUCUUCUUCUUCUUCUCCAAAUUCAAAAAUUCCCAAACUGAUUUCAAGUUGCUAAUGAGUUUCGAACGAUUAACAAUGACUGAAAUUCUUUCUUCUUCUUCUUCCCCAAUUCAAUUCAACCAUCGAACCUUAUUAUCGACCCCGCCGGAGCUGCAAAUCAAGCAACCGUCAUCGUCAGCGAUGAAAUUGAUGCAAUUUCAGUGCCUUGCCCAGUCUUCACAGUCUGUAAGCAUUUACCGCACCUUGUCUGCUAAACAAGGUAAACAUCAAGUUAGAAAAAAAAAAAGGAUAAAACUUUUCUGCACAUAUAAUUGAAUUUCACUGUGCAGAAAAGUGUAUGAUGGCCGAACAGGAGAGUGAACAAUAUUAAUCAAUUAUAGUUACCUUAGGAAAGCGUAAGCUGGAUUUGAGAAGCGAAAAAGUGGAAGGUGAACGAGGGGAAAAUGGUGUAGAACGAUUGAAAAACCGUGGACUGUUUUUAGUUUUGCAUUGAAGUUUUGGACUUCUAGGAGCUAGGUGAUGGAGCAAUAGUGGUUCACCCCACUGGAGCUCCAGAAUAGCUUCACGCAAAAGAUACGUACAAAAGCUUUUAAAG